rnacentral:rRNA from 1 species
AUGGGCAGAUUUAGACAGCACUUAGAAGGCGCCGCUGGGUUCUACAAGAGCGAGACGGGCGGGUCAUCCGAGCCUGAGUCGCAUGGGACGUCCGACUGCCCGCGCGGGGGAGGGAGGUCCAGCAGCAAGUGCACCCGCGCUGCCGAGGUGCACAACCUCUCCGAGAAGGUGGUGUCCCGGUUCCCCGUCGUCAACCAUUUUCCCCUGAGUUUCACACCGCCUUUCUGCUCUUCUCGCCCUGUUUUCUUGGUUGAUCAUUGCUUGCUUGCUUGCUUGAUUGGGGUGCAGCGGCGGAGGAGCAGGAUCAACGAGUAG